rnacentral:rRNA from 1 species
AGUGAACGCUGGCGGUAGGCCUAACACAUGCAAGUCGAACGGCAGCACAGUAAGAGCUUGCUCUUACGGGUGGCGAGUGGCGGACGGGUGAGGAAUACAUCGGAAUCUACUUUUUCGUGGGGGAUAACGUAGGUAAACUUACGCUAAUACAGCAUACUACCUACGGGUGAAAGCAGGGGAUCUUCGUACCUUGCGCGAUUGAAUGAGCCGAUGUCGGAUUAGCUAGUUGGCGGGGUAAAGGCCCACCAAGGCGACGAUCCGUAGCUGGUCUGAGAGGAUGAUCAGCCACACUGGAACUGAGACACGGUCCAGACUCCUACGGGAGGCAGCAGUGGGGAAUAUUGGACAAUGGGCGCAAGCCUGAUCCAGCCAUACCGCGUGGGUGAAGAAGGCCUUCGGGUUGUAAAGCCCUUUUGUUGGGAAAGAAAAGCAGCAGGUUAAUACCCCGCUGUUCUGACGGUACCCAAAGAAUAAGCACCGGCUAACUUCGUG